CCCCAUAAUUUACAGAUUGGGGCUGAUAAGAUAGAAAUCUGCUAAUUUCUACCAUUCCAGGAAUUUCUGCUACUGGCAGGUGAUCCACAAACCACCAGAGAUGAACUUAAAUAGCCCCAGAUACGUUCAGUUGAAUUUGCAAAUAUAAAUAAAAUUUGUUUCACAUACCACAAACGCAAUAAUGAUGCAAUUAAUCAAAUAUGACGUUAUUUUCUAGGACUCUAACCACAAGGGAAUAUCGGUGAGAAGAAAAUCAGAAAUGCAAACUCCAGCUCCAGAGGAGAGACCCGUACUUUUGUCUUCAUGUGAGAUGCUGUUUAUUACUUUCAUCCUGGUAACAUGGUAAUCCUAAAACUUCAAGAAAUAUUCUCCAAAAUGAUGAAUAUGUCUGGAAUUACCCCAGAUGUCAGCAACAAAUACCAGCUGAAGAUCCUGAAAAAGACCAAGCCAAACAAAUACUGCAGCAGACACGGAACACCCACUCUGCAGCAGACUGAAAACCAGUCAUCAUUUGUAUCAUCAGAACGAGAAACCAAGAAUGAGUCACAGACAAGAGGAAAUGAAGACAAUUGUAGCACAGUUUAUAUGUCAGAUUUGUGGUGCCAAGUCCUUUACAAGCCUUUUACAUGUGUUCUGGUAUUUUGCUAAUGUAGCUACAAUAUCUCCAGGGCCUUAACAUCCUUUCUUUCGUCUCUCAAAUGACCUAUAAAAGAUGGUUAGAAGAACAUAGAAUAAAAAAAGAAAAUGACCAGAGGGGUUUUCUGGU
rnacentral:lncRNA from 1 species